CGCUGGGGCUUCCCGGGCACUGCUGGGAGCGGGCGAGCCCCGGCCCGCCGGGAACGGGGAACGGGGAACGGGGAACGGGCAGCCCCGGCCCGCCCCCACCACUGCCCUCACCGCACGGGUACCAGCACCCGGUGAGCACCGGCCCGCCGGGAACGGGGAACGGGCAGCCCCGGCCCGCCCCCACUACUGCCCUCACCACGCGGGUACCGGCACCCGAGAGACACCGGCAAACAGCCCCGGCCUGGAGCUGACAGCGCCCCGCUCCGCGUAGAUAACAGCUCCUGGUGCUACUAGUGACUCUCGGUGCUGCAGAGUAAGAGUUCAGGACUUCCCGUGCCCUAGAUGCCUCAUACCCUGUCCUGGGCUGACACAGCUCCGGGAGAGUUUCUGCAGCACAAGACAAAAUAUAGACCAGCUGGGUUUACCCUGUGACCAGACAGACAUUCAUGCUGGCAUAAGCAUGCUCAUGGGAAGAAUGAGGAGAAAAACAUCCUGCUUUCCUUUUUGAUCUCUAGCAUCAAUGAAAAAGUGAAAGGCCAGU